rnacentral:misc_RNA from 1 species
ACCAAUCUAAGAGGACUCGAAAGAGACCGUUGCAAAUCAAUAGCUCCGUACGGCCGCCGGAGGACGAUACAAUCGACAAUCAUUUCGGUGCUCCGAGAUCGCCAAUAUGGGGCACAGAAGGCGUUUGAUACUGGCAAUUUUUAUUGUUUUUCUAUUCGCUUUCUCUUCUGGAAGAGAGCUUAAGGUCACGCACAAGCAUAUAGAUCAUCGCCCCAUUUACAAUCACACUCUUGCAACAA